rnacentral:rRNA from 1 species
CUUAGGAAUCUGGCUAUUAGUGGGGGACAACAUUUCGAAAGGGAUGCUAAUACCGCAUACGUCCUACGGGAGAAAGCAGGGGAUCAGUAAUGACCUUGCGCUAAUAGAUGAGCCUAAGUCGGAUUAGCUAGUUGGUGGGGUAAAGGCCUACCAAGGCGACGAUCUGUAGCGGGUCUGAGAGGAUGAUCCGCCACACUGGGACUGAGACACGGCCCAGACUCCUACGGGAGGCAGCAGUGGGGAAUAUUGGACAAUGGGGGGAACCCUGAUCCAGCCAUGCCGCGUGUGUGAAGAAGGCCUUAUGGUUGUAAAGCACUUUAAGCGAGGAGGAGGGUACUGGUAUUAAUACUACCAGCUACUGGACGUUACUCGCAGAAUAAGCACCGGCUAACUCUGUGCCAGCAGCCGCGGUAAUACAGAGGGUGCGAGCGUUAAUCGGAUUUACUGGGCGUAAAGCGUGCGUAGGCGGCUAAUUGAGUCGGAUGUGAAAUCCCCGAGCUUAACUUGGGAAUUGCAUUCGAUACUGGUUAGCUAGAGUGUGGGAGAGGAUGGUAGAAUUCCAGGUGUAGCGGUGAAAUGCGUAGAGAUCUGGAGGAAUACCGAUGGCGAAGGCAGCCAUCUGGCCUAACACUGACGCUGAGGUACGAAAGCAUGAGGAGCAAACAGGAUUAGAUACCCUGGUAGUCCAUGCCGUAAACGAUGUCUACUAGCCGUUGGUCUCUUUGAGGGAUUAGUGGCGCAGCUAACGCGAUAAGUAGACCGCCUGGGGAGUACGGUCGCAAGACUAAAACUCAAAUGAAUUGACGGGGGCCCGCACAAGCGGUGGAGCAUGUGG